UACAGAGGGUGCGAGCGUUGUCCGGAAUCACUGGGCGUAAAGGGCGCGUAGGUGGCGACCCAAGUCUGUGGUGAAAGCUCGAUGCUUAACAUCGAGUCGGCCACGGAUACUGGGUGGCUCGAGCACUGUAGAGGCAGAUGGAAUUCCGGGUGUAGCGGUGGAAUGCGUAGAGAUCCGGAAGAACACCGGUGGCGAAGGCGGUCUGCUGGGCAGUAGCUGACACUGAGGCGCGACAGCGUGGGGAGCAAACAGG
rnacentral:rRNA from 1 species